rnacentral:rRNA from 1 species
CCUACGGGAGUCAGCAGUGAGGAAUAUUGGUCAAUGGUCGGGAGACUGAACCAGCCAAGCCGCGUGAGGGAGGAAGGUACAGAGUAUCGUAAACCUCUUUUGUCAGGGCACAAAGACUGGGACGCGUCCCCGGAUGAGUGUACCUGAAGAAAAAGCAUCGGCUAACUCCGUGCCAGCAGCCGCGGUAAUACGGAGGAUGCGAGCGUUAUCCGGAUUUAUUGGGUUUAAAGGGUGCGCAGGCGGAGGCUAAAGUCAGCGGUAAAAGAGCGGGGCUCAACCCCGGCCCGCCGUUGAAACUGUGAGCCUUGAGUGGGAGAAGGGUAGGCGGAAUGCGUGGUGUAGCGGUGAAAUGCAUAGAGAGCGCGCAGAACUCCGAUCGCGAAGGCAGCCUACCGGCGCGAAACUGACGCUGAUGCACGAAAGCGUGGGUAUCGAACAGGAUUAGAUACCCUAGUAGUC